UAAUAUUUGAGCGCGACUCAGGCUCGCCCUAUAUAAAGAGCUGGAGCUGCAGCAUUUUUUCAGUCUUCAGUCAGGCCUGGUGCGAAGAAGUCGUGCAGUGCAGUGAAUUGAGAUGGGUGAUCGUUCAGCUUUGCAUUAAAGAGGAAUUAAUCAGGAGAAAUACUGAGAGGGAGAGCCUGGAAGAAAUACUUAGGGGAAAUUAAUAUUAUAACAAAACGGGAGAUUCUAUCAAAUAUUAACGAGCAUGCCCAUAAGUUUUUAGUCUCUAGCUGGUAUAUCUUCUGAGAUCAACGCAUUCACACGGACAGACGGAACGAAGAGACGCUCAGGGCGAAAUCGAUCAGCACGUUGCCUUUAGCAAAUCCCCGAUAUUCCAAUUUCAAUGGGUCCAGGGUAUAAAAAAAUAUAUACAUAAGUAUAUUAAGUUAAAAAUGCUCAAGAAUUAAUUAUGUUCAUUAAGAAAUCACGCGGCAAAAUUAAAAUUGUCGUUAUUCAAUUUUAUUAAUCAGCGGAAUAAAAUUUCGAGUUUUUCUUCUUCGUACAUGACAUUAAUAAAUACAAAAUAAAAUUAACAGCA